GCGCACUCUUCCACAAUGGGGACGCAACUACCCCUUGGUUGCCUUCACGAAGAAGAACGUAAUAAAAGAGGCUCGAUGACGAGCUGAUGAAAUUUAUGACUAUUUUGAAGAUGUAGAGCUGACUGAGGAUGAUGGGUGGCCAAGCUCCUUCUCAGCGGGUGACACCUACGCCCUGUCCUUCCGGCAAGUCUACAGUAACUCGGCAAUGCUCUUACUGAAGAGUGGAACUGUCUUCCAUUUGCAACCAUCCAGACACAUAUCGGGAGCAUAGGACGACGGUGCUAAGCUGUUAUCGCAUCAAGUGGAUCACAUACGCGCUACUGAGAUUUGUUGGGGUUUUUAACAAGGAAUUAGCAUUCGUGAUAUUUUGGUCAGUUACUAUUACGGCAUGACCUGUUCAUUAAACACGUCUUCACGCAAUUUGAACACAUUUUGACGUAUUAUCUUGUAGGAUCCUUGGCACUCUUUGAGUAGUAGGCUAUAAACAUUAAGAAUGAUCUGGCUAUGUAGUCAUGUUGCGCUCCCGACACAUGUCUUCUAAAAAUAAUAAACGUACAGUAAAGUACGGAUAUAACGAACUCAAAGGGACUACUAAUUUUAGUUCGUUAUAACCGUAGUUCGUUAUAAGCAUAUAUACAGCAUAACUAAAGCAAAUAGUCGGGACCCAAAAAGUAAGUUCGUUAUAUCCGUCAGUUCGUUAUAAGCGUGUUCGUUAUAACCGUAGUUUACUGUAUUUUGUAUAUCUAUUGACUAAACAUCACAAUGAUUCCUGGCAUGAUUUUUUUUUAUGUAUUUUUCGUUUGGUGUUGCUAACGCACUUUCAGUUCUUGAAGCUCGAAGUGUAACACUAUCAUAGAGUAUAUGUGGCAGGCUCAUUUAUGUACAUACUUUUAAUUAAGAUUUAUUAGUAAGUAGUAAGGUUAUAUGGCCUUGUUACCAUUUUAACUGAUUAGUUUAUUACGAUGUCUAUAUUAUAAGAAUAUAUUAUUAGUUAUAAUAUUAGUUAUGUUUUAUACCUUAGUAUUUUAUAUCUUAAACAUUCAUUCCAUAGCUCUGUAACAUUAAGUAAGCUUACCCUCAGUCUAACUUCCACUAAUUGUCACACUGCAUGCUUUUGACUUACAGCACUCUUUGCCCCAGCGCGCCCUGGCCCAGUCUAUUGUCUUGUUGAUAGGCCAAGCUGGCCAUAGCUACAGCAAUGUCUGUUGUUGUAUUUUAGAAAAUCAGUUGCUAUUUGUCACCUCAAGGAAAGACUCUGCGAGAUGUAUUGCUGCUUUCAUUUCUAUGUGAGGAUUUGGAUUUGUAGAAGGAUUUAUUCAUAUUUAAGGUUAGUUGGUUAUUUAUUUUAUGAUGUUGUAUAUAUGGAUGUUUUCUAAUUAUUGCGAUUUGAAAUAAUAUAUAUUGUAGAAUGCAUUCUUAAUUUGAUUUAUUAGAAACAUAAUGCAUCUUGUAUAUAUUUAUAGUGCUUGAUGAACUUACAGUUCAGUGAGUAAUUAUUAUCUGUAUAAAACAGUAUUAAACACAAACCCUAAAUAUAUAUAUAAACUAAGUAAUAUAAACCCCGUCUGGCAGUAAUGGAAAGUAAAUGUAUGUCUGUAUGCUUGAUGUAUGUUUGAAAUGAGUGGCUGUUGUACUAUAUAUUUUAUACACUAUUUUACCAUAGGAUAUCACUUGUAUAUAGUAUUCUGCAUUUGUAUUUCUUUAUUAUGCAGAUUUCUCAGUGGAAACAUUUACCGUACAAUCAUUGUCACGGUAUUACCAGUUCAGGUAUCACCUAUCUGACUGAAAUUAAGUACGUACAUUCGUACUGAUUAUAAAAUAAACGUCAUCAGCCUCACC